UACGGAGGGAGCUAGCGUUGUUCGGAAUUACUGGGCGUAAAGAGCGCGUAGGCGGUCCGGUAAGUCCGCUCUGAAAGUCCGGGGGCUCAACCCCGGGAGGCGGGCGGAUACUGUCGGGCUAGAGUCCGGAAGAGGCGAGUGGAAUUCCUGGUGUAGCGGUGAAAUGCGCAGAUAUCAGGAGGAACACCGAUGGCGAAGGCAGCUCGCUGGGACGGUACUGACGCUGAGAAGCGAAAGCAUGGGGAGCGAACAGG
rnacentral:rRNA from 1 species